AGCGGCGGACGGGUGAGUAACGCGUGGGUAACCUGCCUUACACUGGGGGAUAACAUAGUGAAAACUAUGCUAAAACCGCAUAAGACCACGGAAUCACAUGAUUCUGGGGUAAAAACUCCGGUGGUGUAAGAUGGACCCGCGUCUGAUUAGCUAGUUGGUGAGGUAACGGCUCACCAAGGCAACGAUCAGUAGCCGACCUGAGAGGGUGAUCGGCCACAUUGGGACUGAGACACGGCCCAAACUCCUACGGGAGGCAGCAGUGGGGAAUAUUGCACAAUGGAGGAAACUCUGAUGCAGCGACGCCGCGUGAAGGAAGAAGGUCUUCGGAUCGUAAACUUCUAUCAGCAGGGACGAUAAUGACGGUACCUGACUAAGAAGCCCCGGCUAACUACGUGCCAGCAGCCGCGGUAAUACGUAGGGGGCAAGCGUUAUCCGGAAUUACUGGGUGUAAAGGGUGCGUAGGCGGUAAUGUAAGUCAGGUGUGAAAGCCCGGAGCUCAACUUCGGGAUUGCACUUGAAACUACAUAACUAGAGUACAGGAGAGGUGAGUGGAAUUCCUAGUGUAGCGGUGAAAUGCGUAGAUAUUAGGAGGAACACCAGUGGCGAAGGCGACUCACUGGACUGUAACUGACGCUGAGGCACGAAAGCGUGGGGAGCGAACAGGAUUAGAUACCCUGGUAGUCCACGCUGUAAACGAUGAAUGCUAGGUGUCGGCUCGUCAAGGGUCGGUGCCGAAGUUAACACAUUAA
rnacentral:rRNA from 1 species